rnacentral:rRNA from 1 species
AGAGUUUGAUCCUGGCUCAGAGUGAACGCUGGCGGCAUGCCUAACACAUGCAAGUCGAACGGCAGCACAGCAGUAGCAAUACUGUGGGUGGCGAGUGGCGGACGGGUGAGGAAUACAUCGGAAUUUGCCCUGUCGUGGGGGAUAACGUAGGGAAACUUACGCUAAUACCGCACACGACCUAACGGUGAAAGCGGGGGAUCGCAAGACCUCGCGCGGCUGGAGAAGCCGAUGUCAGAUUAGCUAGUUGGCGGGGUAAAGGCCCACCAAGGCGACGAUCUGUAGCUGGUCUGAGAGGAUGAUCAGCCACACUGGGACUGAGACACGGCCCAGACUCCUACGGGAGGCAGCAGUGGGGAAUAUUGGACAAUGGGCGCAAGCCUGAUCCAGCAAUGCCGCGUGUGUGAAGAAGGCCUUCGGGUUGUAAAGCACUUUUAUCAGGAGCGAAAUCUGCAGGGCUAAUACCCAUGCAGUCUGACGGUACCUGAGGAAUAAGCACCGGCUAACUUCGUGCCAGCAGCCGCGGUAAU